GGCUACUUAGCUGAAUUGUCCGGCAGCCCUGAAAAGGCCGGCGUCGGCGGUUCGAUCCCGUCUCUGGCCACCA
rnacentral:tRNA from 1 species